rnacentral:lncRNA from 1 species
AGUACAGUCGGGGACGAGGUCGGCACACCCACAGCCCCAUAACCCCUACGUCGAGUCAGGGGUCAGAAAACCCAGUAACCCGCAGGCGAGCAAGCUGCGCACUGAAAAGCCGGCCUGCGGAGUCUUUCCUUACGAAGUUAAACCACCUAGGGCGCGCGGCCCUGUUCGCCCAGACCUCGGGCUUUCCUGCCAGGCUGGGUUUGCCGGGUCGAGUCACUUUGCUCGCCAAUCCCCGCCCCCAUUCCACCGUUUCAUUCUGGCCCCAGGACCCGCCUCACAGGAAAAUUCUAAAUAAUAUAUCUAAAUACCCCUUCUUCCAAUAGCGGGAGCUCGAUUUCUGCCCCACCCACCCCCACUUUGAUUAUGGGCUAUGCCUAGUAACUUGAUUCCAAAGAGUACAGCCUGGAAUGGUGUUGGGGACUACAGUGGAGAAACCUGGCAAACAGUACCUUACCGGGUGGUCAAGGAUAACAUCAGGAAGAAAUCAUGCUGAUAGCAUGUUCCUGUGGUGUCUCUCUCCAAAACCCUUCUAUGGAAAUCUUCUAUGGGGGAAAAAAAAUUAGUACUCCUAAACAUGUUUUCUGUCAUGAAAAACAAGUACAGUUGUCCCUUAGUGUCCGUGGGGGAAUGGUUCCAGGACCCUGCGGAUACCAGAAUUAGAAUGCUCAAGUCCCUUGUAUACAAUGGUGUAAACCUAAGUAACAAAAGAGGCUCCCUAAAAGAAAAUGAGAUUUAUCUGGGAGUAGCAUUGCAAUGGGAAUAUGCAUGCCAUAGUAAACUGUGUGCGUUUUGGGGGAGGUUGAGGCAAGGAGAUGUUUUUAAAAGGAAAAUGAAGAUUAUAUGAAUUGCUUUAAAUCAAUUAUCUUUGGCUAAAAGAAUGAAUAACAAAGGUAGCAUCAGUCCAAAGUUGCUGGACAGAUGUCCUUGCAGAAGGAUUUUCUGUGUUUAAGAUUGGGCCUUUCUGCAAGGUUAGGGUCUUUUGUGACAAUUCUUGUUAUGAGGCGUAGUGCAUGAGAACCCUUCCUUCAAGGCCUUCCCCAGCUGCAUUUAUCAGGGUUUUGACACAAGUGACUCCAUUUUGAUUCUGCAACUUUCACAAUGGUGUAAUAUUUGCAUAUAACCUAUGCACAUCCUCCCAUAUACUUUAAAUCAUCUCUAGAUUA